rnacentral:rRNA from 1 species
GCCAGACUCCUACGGGAGGCAGCAGUGGGGGAUAUUGCACAAUGGGGGGAACCCUGAUGCAGCGACGCCGCGUGGGUGAAGGAGUAUUUCGGUAUGUAAAGCCCUAUCGGCAGGGAAGAAGCAAGACGGUACCUGACUAAGAAGCCCCGGCUAACUACGUGCCAGCAGCCGCGGUAAUACGUAGGGGGCGAGCGUUAUCCGGAUUCACUGGGUGUAAAGGGAGCGUAGACGGCCAAGCAAGCCAGGGGUGAAAGCCCGGGGCCCAACCCCGGGACUGCCCUUGGAACUGCUUGGCUGGAGUGCGGGAGGGGCAGGCGGAAUUCCUGGUGUAGCGGUGAAAUGCGUAGAUAUCAGGAGGAACACCGGCGGCGAAGGCGGCCUGCUGGACCGCUACUGACGUUGAGGCUCGAAAGCGUGGGGAGCAAACAGGAUUAGAUACCCCCGUAAAC